rnacentral:rRNA from 1 species
UAACGCGUGGGUGACGUACCUGUUGGUGGGGAAUAACUGCCCGAAAGGGUGGCUAAUUCCGCAUAAGUCCUUUGAUUCGAGUUGAAGGGAAAGUUUCUUGCAAGAGAGACGCCGAUGGAGCGGCCCGCGUCCGAUUAGCUGGUUGGUGGGGUAACGGCCUACCAAGGCGACGAUCGGUAGCUGGUCUUAGAGGAUGAUCAGCCAGACUGGGACUGAGACACGGCCCAG